rnacentral:rRNA from 1 species
CCUACGGGUGGCAGCAGUGGGGGAUAUUGCACAAUGGGGGAAACCCUGAUGCAGCGACGCCGCGUGAGUGAUGACGUAUUUCGGUAUGUAAAGCUCUAUUAGCAGGGGAGAAAAUGACAGUACCUGACCAAGAAGCCCCGGCUAACUACGGGCAAGAAGCCGCGGUAAUACGCAGGGGGCCAGCGUUAUACGGAUUUACUGGGUGUAAAGGGAGCGUAGACGGUUAUGUAGGUCAGGAGUGAAAGCCCGGGGCCCAACCCCGGGACUGCUUUGGAAACUGGCUACCUGGAGUACAGGAGAGGCAGGCGGAAUUCCUGGUGUAGCGGUGAAAUGCGUAGAUAUCAGGAAGAACACCGGCGGCGAAGGCGGCCUGCUGGACUGAAACUGACGUUGAGGCUCGAAAGCGUGGGGAGCAAACAGGAUUAGAUACCCCUGUAGUC